CCUACGGGUGGCUGCAGUGAGGAAUAUUGGUCAAUGGACGAGAGUCUGAACCAGCCAAGUAGCGUGAAGGAUGACUGCCCUAUGGGUUGUAAACUUCUUUUAUAAAGGAAUAAAACGAGGCACGUGUGCCUUUUUGUAUGUACUUUAUGAAUAAGGAUCGGCUAACUCCGUGCCAGCAGCCGCGGUAAUACGGAGGAUCCGAGCGUUAUCCGGAUUUAUUGGGUUUAAAGGGAGCGUAGAUGGGUUGUUAAGUCAGUUGUGAAAGUUUGCGGCUCAACCGUAAAAUUGCAAUUGAUACUGGCAGUCUUGAGUACAGUAGAGGUAGGCGGAAUUCGUGGUGUAGCGGUGAAAUGCUUAGAUAUCACGAAGAACCCCGAUUGCGAAGGCAGCUUACUAAACUGUGACUGACAUUGAUGCUCGAAAGUGUGGGUAUCAAACAGGAUUAGAUACCCCAGUAGUC
rnacentral:rRNA from 1 species